rnacentral:lncRNA from 1 species
UCCUUUUCUAAUAUAUGAUCUCUCCUUUUGAUAUUUUCUCGUGUUUUCUUUUUCAAGAUCAAAAAAUUCGAUGAAGCAAAUAUGUUGCCACCAAAUAAAGUAGCUGAAAAAAAUCAAAGAUUUAUAUAUUAUUUUGAUUCUUAUUUGACUCAUGUUAUUGCGUUCAUUGUCAUCAUCUUCUUUGUCUUUCUUUAUUUGCUUUUUC